AAGUCGUAACAAGGUUUCCGUAGGUGAACCUGCGGAAGGAUCAUUAAAGUUUGCUUAAUUGCAUUACACAUGUUUUUUUAGAGAACUUGCUUGCAAGAACACUAAUAAUUUACUUAGUCAACAAAUAAAAAUAUCAAAACUUUCAACAACGGAUCUCUUGGCUCCA
rnacentral:misc_RNA from 1 species